AUUGAACGCUGGCGGCAUGCCUAACACAUGCAAGUCGAACGGAGGGCUUCGGCCCUCAGUGGCGGACGGGUGAGUAACGCGUAGGGAUCUGCCCCGUAGUGGGGGACAACCUGGGGAAACUCAGGCUAAUACCGCAUACGCUCCACGGAGGAAAGCGGGGGACCUUCGGGCCUCGCGCUGCGGGAUGAACCUACGUCCGAUUAGCUAGUUGGUGGGGUAAAGGCCCACCAAGGCGACGAUCGGUAGCUGGUCUGAGAGGACGGCCAGCCACACUGGGACUGAGACACGGCCCAGACUCCUACGGGAGGCAGCAGUGGGGAAUAUUGGACAAUGGGCGCAAGCCUGAUCCAGCAAUGCCGCGUGGGUGAAGACGGCCUGCGGGUUGUAAAGCCCUUUAGGCGGGGAAGAACGGCCGGGCGUAAAUAGCGCGCGGCUCUGACGUUACCCGCAAAAUAAGCACCGGCUAACUCC
rnacentral:rRNA from 1 species